ensembl:lncRNA
GGGAAACCCAAAGGCCCCUGCACUGGAAGUGUAGCAUUUAGCCACCGCACCACCAGGGAAGUGCCCCUUCUUCUCUGUAUUUCUAACGUAACUUCAUGAUCUUUUGAAUAACCAAAGUUUUCUAUUUGCCAUCAUGGAGGAAGGACCACUUGGAAGUCUGUAUUUGGUGGAUAAAUGCAAUGGUGGCAUCAGGGUCGGCGGAGGUUCUUUGAAGCUGUGCGUGAGGAUAAGAGGUGGAAAUCCACUCAGAGACUUGAAGUGCCCACUGUGCCCAAAGCCCCUUUGGAGGAAGAGACUGCCAGGUGGUCCCUUCCCAACAAAGUGCUAAGUGCUGUGUCCCAUCAUCCUGAAACUCAGGCCGCAGUUCUUUAGAUCUGGGGCUUGGUGCCCCAGCCUGAUGCAUUCCUUCAAGCCUGAACAUGAGGAAGGAUAGUGAUUCGGACACAUGUCUAGUCUCCAAAACAACAUCGAAUUGGGAGUUUCAGUUAAUAGUAUCUGCCUGAGCAGAUCCUCUCUCAGGUCCUUAGAAUUUGGGGUCCAGACUUUGCAUCCAGCCCUGGCAAAUAGGAAGGAGGAGAAGUGGAGCAGACAUCAGAGAAACCACAUAGGCCGCAGUCCCCCAAACAACGGAGCCUCCAGAGCAGAGAGCAGAAACGUCUGGAAUCACUAAGAUCCAUCUCCCAAACAAUGCUCCAUUUCCAGAAGCCCUGGCACUUGGUGACCUUGGAAAGUGUCUCUUCCCUGCAAAUGAAGAGGAAAAACUAGCUAUGCAACAGCUCUUGUAUAUGGCACCGCCCAAUAACGACAGAAGACAAGAUGGUUGGAUGGCAUCACCAACUCAGUGGACAUGAGUUUGAGCAAGCUCCGGGAGACAGUGAAGGACAGGGAAGCCUGGUGUGCUGCCUUGGGGUCACAAAGAGUCAGACACGAUUGAGUGACUGAACAACAGCAAUAACACAAAUAGAAGAUAUCGUCUCUACUGCUCCUUUUGUUUAACUCCUAGGUCAUCUAGUUUUUCUUGAGCCCUUGUUGCAGAUAUAUGAGUGGGGUGGUUGUACCUAGCCAAAACUAAAUUAUUCAUUUCCUCCUCUAAUGACAAAAGAUGG